UACAGGGGGUGCAAACGUUGCUCGGAAUCAUUGGGCGUAAAGCGCACGUAGGCGGCUUUGUAAGUCAGAGGUGAAAGCCUGGACGCUCAACUCCAGAACUGCCUUUGAGACUGCAUCGCUUGAAUCCAGGAGAGGUGAGUGGAAUUCCGAGUGUAGGAGGUGAAAAUUCGUAGAUAUUCGGAAGAACACCAGUGGCGAAGGCGGCUCACUGGACUGGUACUUGACGCUGGAGGCUGCGGAAAGCGAUGGG
rnacentral:rRNA from 1 species